rnacentral:antisense_RNA from 1 species
CUUGACCGAGCCCAGCCACAGCGGGUCGGCCGGAUCGCGGUCCUGUCCGUAGGUCGCGAGCAGCGCGCCGGCCUC